GUAAUACUCCCUCUGAUCCAUAUUACUUGUCUCAAAUUUGUCUAAAUAUGGAUGUAUCUAUGUUUAAAAAAUGUCUAGAUACAUGUAAUAUUUCGACAAGUAAUAUGGGUUAGAGGGAGUAGUUG
rfam:Brachypodium distachyon strain Bd21 chromosome 2, whole genome shotgun sequence.